rnacentral:rRNA from 1 species
CCUACGGGAGGCAGCAGUGAGGAAUAUUGGUCAAUGGGCGCGAGCCUGAACCAGCCAAGUAGCGUGAAGGAUGACUGCCCUACGGGUUGUAAACUUCUUUUAUAAAGGAAUAAAGUGAGGCACGUGUGCCUUUUUGUAUGUACUUUAUGAUUAAGGAUGGGUAACCUCCGUGCCAGCAGCCGCGGUAAUACGGAGGAUCCGAGCGUUUUCCGGAUUUAUUGGGUUUAAAGGGAGCGUAGAUGGGUUGUUAAGUCAGUUGUGAAAGUUUGCGGCUCAACCGUAAAAUUGCAAUUGAUACUGGCAGCCUUGAGUACAGUUGAGGUAGGCGGAAUUCGUGGUGUAGCGGUGAAAUGCUUAGAUAUCACGAAGAACUCCGAUUGCGAAGGCAGCUUACUAAACUGCCACUGACAUUGAUGCUCGAAAGUGUGGGUAUCAAACAGGAUUAGAUACCCUAGUAGUC